AUACGUAGGGGGAGAGCGUUGUCCGGAAUGAUUGGGCGUAAAGGGCGCGUAGGCGGCCCGGUAAGUCUGGAGUGAAAGUCCUGUUUUUAAGAUGGGAAUUGCUUUGGAUACUGUCGGGCUUGAGUGCAGGAGAGGUAAGUGGAAUUCCCAGUGUAGCGGUUAAAUGCGUAGAGAUUGGGAGGAACACCAGUGGCGAAGGCGACUUACUGGACUGUAACUGACGCUGAGGCGCGAAAGUGUGGGGAGCAAACAGGAUUAGAUACCCUGGUAGUCCACACUGUAAACGAUGAAUGCUAGGUGUAGGGGGUAUCGACCCCUUCUGUGCCGCAGUCAACACAAUAAGCAUUCCGCCUGGGGAGUACGGCCGCAAGGUUGAAACUCAAAUGAAUUGACGGGG
rnacentral:rRNA from 1 species